rnacentral:rRNA from 1 species
AGAGUUUGAUCCUGGCUCAGGACGAACGCUGGCGGCGUGCCUAACACAUGCAAGUCGAACGGAGAUAAAGAUUUCGGUUUUUAUCUUAGUGGCGCACGGGUGAGUAACACGUGAAUAACCUGACCCAAAGAGGGGGAUAACACCUGGAAACAGGUGCUAAUACCGCAUAAGACCACAAUGUCGCAUGACGAAGGGGUCAAAGAAAAUCGCUUUGGGAGGGGUUCGCGUCCCAUUAGGUAGUAGGCGGGGUAAUAGCCCACCUAGCCGACGAUGGGUAGCCGAGCUGAGAGGCUGAUCGGCCACACUGGAACUGAGACACGGUCCAGACUCCUACGGGAGGCAGCAGUGGGGAAUAUUGGGCAAUGGGCGCAAGCCUGACCCAGCAACGCCGCGUGAGGGAAGAAGGUUUUCGGAUUGUAAACCUCUGUCGCAGAAGACGAAGGAAGUGACGGUAUUCUGUGAGGAAGCCCCGGCUAACUACGUGCCAGCAGCCGCGGUAAUACGUAGGGGGCGAGCGUUGUCCGGAAUUACUGGGCGUAAAGGGAGCGUAGGCGGUCUGAUAAGUUGGAUGUGAAAUACCCGGGCUUAACUUGGGGGGUGCAUCCAAUACUGUUGGACUAGAGUACAGGAGAGGAAAGCGGAAUUCCUAGUGUAGCGGUGAAAUGCAUAGAUAUUAGGAGGAACAUCGGUGGCGAAGGCGGCUUUCUGGACUGCAACUGACGCUGAGGCUCGAAAGCGUGGGGAGCAAACAGGAUUAGAUACCCUGGUAGUCCACGCUGUAAACGAUGAAUACUAGGUGUAGGGGGUAUAAACUCCCUCUGUGCCGCAGCGAAAGCAUUAAGCAUCCCACCUGGGGAGUACGCCGGCAACGGUGAAACUCAAAGGAAUUGACGGGGGCCCGCACAAGCGGAGGAACAUGUGGUUUAAUUCGAUGAUACGCGAGGAACCUUACCCGGGCUUGAAUUGCAGAGGAAGGAUUUGGAGACAAUGACGCCCUUCGGGGCCUCUGUGAAGGUGCUGCAUGGUUGUCGUCAGCUCGUGCCGUGAGGUGUCGGCUUAAGUGCCAUAACGAGCGCAACCCCUCUCCUCAGUUGCCAUCAGGUUAAGCUGGGCACUCUGGGGACACUGCCACCGUAAGGUGUGAGGAAGGUGGGGAUGACGUCAAAUCAGCACGGCCCUUACGUCCGGGGCUACACACGUGUUGCAAUGGCAGGUACAGAGAGACGGUCCCUUGCAAAACGGAUCAAAUCCUUAAAGCCUGUCUCAGUUCGGACUGGGGUCUGCAACCCGACCCCACGAAGCUGGAUUCGCUAGUAAUCGCGCAUCAGCCAUGGCGCGGUGAAUACGUUCCCGGGCCUUGUACACACCGCCCGUCAAGCCAUGAAAGCCGGGGGCGCCUAAAGUCCGUGACCGUAAAGAGCGGCCUAGGGCGAAACUGGUAAUUGGGGCUAAGUCGUAACAAGGUA